AUGGGAUGGAGCUUGAUUCUUUUCCUGGUUGCAGCAUCUACUGUAGUCCACUCCCAGGUCCAGCCGCAGCAGUCUGGGGCUGAGCUGGUGAGGCCUGGGGCCUCAGUGAAGUUGUCAUGCAAGGCUUCUGGAUAUACCUUUAUUGAUUAUGUUAUGAGCUGGGUGAAACAGAGGCCAGGCCAGGGACUGGAGUGGAUUGGGUUGAUUGAUCCUGAAGAUGGUGAUACUGUCUACAAUCAGAAGUUCCAGGGCAAGGCCACACUGACUGCAGACAAAUCCUCCAGCACAGCCUACAUGGAGCUCAGCAGCCUGGCCUCUGAGGACACUGCGGUCUAUUACUGUGCGAGAGACACAGUGUCACAACCACAUCCUGAUAGUGUCAGAAACCAUAGAGGAGCAGGAAACUGCCCUGGGACUGAAAUGACAGUGAAGAUUAGCCUGGAAACUUGCUCAGAAAUAAUUGCUCUGUGUCCAUUUGUUUUCCUUCUCCUCACAUUACCAUAUGACCUUUGUAAACUUUUCAAGACUAUAGCAGUGCGUAAAGUGAUAAUCAUUGAAUUUGUCCCCAGUGCACCUUGA